AUAAUUUAUUCAAGGUGAGGAAUAUGCAAAGGAAGUGAUAGGCUUUCCCAUCAGCAGGCGAGGGAUUGGAGGGAGGGUACAUACCAGCAACAAGGAAGGAAUAUGAAUAAGUCCCUUUCUUUUAAUGGUGUUUUUUUUAAUAUUAUUUUUAUAUUUUCUGAUCUUACCUCUCUUUUAGCUAUAUAAAGCCAUUCUUCCGUUCACAGAUCCAUGAAGUUGCUUGCUUCUUAUAGUGAUUAUAGCUCUUCUUCUCUACCCUCUCAGGGUUCUGGGUGUGGUGGUGAGAUGUUGUUUCUAUGUCCAAUCACUGUUCUCAACUCCUCUUCUUUCUCUCUGUGCCAUGCUUCAUGCUUAGUUCCUCUCUCUUUCUCAUCUCUUUUCUGCUAUAUAAUUUUUCUGUUUCCUUGUGAGCCUUUCUUGUUUCUUAUUUCCUUCUCUGUAGCCUCCUUUUCUUGUUCGUAGGAUUUGGUUCACUACUUUGAAGGAUCACAACGGAGCUUCAGCCAUACUUUAUCAUGAUUUUGACAGGUUGAUUUGAUGUAGGGUUAGCUUAAUUGAUAAUGGAUGUUUCUUAGUUAAUGCUGUGCAAGUUGGUAGAUCACUGUACUAAUCUCACAGCCACAGCCCACAAUGUUAUUACCAUGUUAGUACGAGUACUACUGGGAUGAAAUUUUGCAAAGAGAGCUUCCUUCAGUCCACUCAUGGGAGGUGGUAAGAUUUAAUUAACUGCCGACUCAUUCACCCAAAUACCAAGUAAAGAAGGGAGCCACUGCUUGGUAGAUGAGCGAAUGAUGCGGGAGAUAAGUUGGAUCUUAUGCUUCCCGUUCUUGGACUGAAGGGAGCUCCCUUCACAAAUCAUGCUAUCGAAGCUUCUUUUCUGGGUUGGAAUUCUAAUAAUAAACAAACUUAUGCACAUGAUGUAUCUGUUAUUUUUCUUCAGUUUUUCAUUUGUUAUGCCUAGAUCUGUUUGAUAACUGGAGAAGGAUCUGGUUGAUUUAUAUGAUUCUUGUAUUUUGUUAGUGUUCCUUAACUAUAAAAAUCAUUAUCUGUUUCUCUGUUGAGUUGAGUUUCGACUGAAGUUGUUUUUAGCCUUUGCCCAGGCUCAGUUGUAAGUUGAUGUUCUGUUACUUGUAAUAGGCGCAUUAAUUGUUUAUCAAAUUACUUAAGGUUUGCAUGCAGUUAGAUCCUGCAGGCUAUUCUUUGUAGGAGAUGCUUUCUGCCUGGGACUUUCUAUAUUCUCUCUCUCUCUCUCCUUUUUUUUUUCUGUUCUCCUUUUCCUUUUCUUUCUUUCUUUCUAAAACUGCAGGCCUACUAUGGUCAUUCUCUGUGUUUAAAAUCAUGGUUGUUUGUGAAAGUACGCUUAUUCUCUUUCAGUUAGUACUUGAAUAAACUUCUUCAUUUGUAACUCGUGACUAAUUGCUGUUGUUGAGGAUUCCAAACCCAUUUGAGCUAGGGUUUGCAAUCAACGAUCAUAUUACCAGGGUACGAUGUAAUUGAUUUUAUCUUGGAAGUCUGAUCAUUCGCCAUGAAGAUUGGGAUAUGAUUCAAAGUAGAAAAGAAGAGUUUCUACAUUCUAUGAAUGGGCAGAUACAAAGUAGAAAAGAAGAGUUUCUACAUUCCAGGGUGAUUCAUAAUUUCUUCUCUUGUUAAUUCUGUGUCACUGCUCAAUGGCAAGAAGCAACACCACAUGUGGGAGAAGCCUCAUACCUCACGUUCUACGACGAUGACAUCUUGGGUUAUGCUCUUUGUACUGCAACAAGUCCCUAGACAUGUCUCCUUGAUGGUGCAAUUACCAAAAAAAAACCCUUUAGUGAGAUCUCCAGAACACUGCAAGUUGAAGCUACUCUUCCUUCAUUUAAUUUUGCUUUCUUUUUUUUUGGUAUUUGAAGAUUCACAAUGUAUGAAUUAAAAGUUUCUCUUUUUAAGUUUGGAUUCUCUCAUAUCAACUAUCAAGAAAAGUUAAGUCUGUAUUUUUCUGUAGUUUAGUUUAUAUAUAUAAGAUAAAUGAAAUGAAACAGUUUUACCCGGUUC